rnacentral:rRNA from 1 species
GAUGAACGCUAGCGGCAGGCUUAAUACAUGCAAGUCGAGGGGCAGCGCGGGUAGCAAUAUCUGGCGGCGACCGGCGCACGGGUGCGUAACACGUAUGCAACCUACCUUAAACUGGGGAAUAGCCCCUCGAAAGAGGGAUUAAUGCCCCAUAACAAUGUGAGAAGGCAUCUUUUUACAUUUAAAGCUCCGGCGGUUUAAGAUGGGCAUGCGCGACAUUAGCUAGUUGGUGAGGUAACGGCUCACCAAGGCUUUGAUGUCUAGGGGUUCUGAGAGGAACAUCCCCCCACACUGGUACUGAGACACGGACCAGACUCCUACGGGUGGCAG